rnacentral:rRNA from 1 species
CUUGGUGGCUGUUCCGGCGGGGGUACACCCGAUCCCAUCCCGAACUCGGCAGUUAAGCCCGCCAGGGCCGAUGGUAGCCGCAAGGCAAGAGUAGGUCGUCGCCAAGA